AUGGGUGAUAAGGUCCGUGUUCGAAAGGGAAACAGCCCAGACCACCAGCUAAGGUCCCAAAAUAUAUGUUAAGUGGAAAAGGAUGUGGCGUUGCCCAGACAACUAGGAUGUUGGCUUAGAAGCAGCCAUCAUUUAAAGAGUGCGUAAUAGCUCACUAGUCGAGUGACACUGCGCCGAAAAUGUACCGGGGCUAAACAUAUUACCGAAGCUGUGGAUUGUCCUUUGGACAAUGGUAGGAGAGCGUUCUAAGGGCGUUGAAGCAUGAUCGUAAGGACAUGUGGAGCGCUUAGAAGUGAGAAUGCCGGUGUGAGUAGCGAAAGACGGGUGAGAAUCCCGUCCACCGAUUGACUAAGGUUUCCAGAGGAAGGCUCGUCCGCUCUGGGUUAGUCGGGUCCUAAGCUGAGGCCGACAGGCGUAGGCGAUGGAUAACAGGUUGAUAUUCCUGUACCACCUAUAAUCGUUUUAAUCGAUGGGGGGACGCAGUAGGAUAGGCGAAGCGUGCGAUUGGAUUGCACGUCUAAGCAGUAAGGCUGAGUAUUAGGCAAAUCCGGUACUCGUUAAGGCUGAGCUGUGAUGGGGAGAAGACAUUG
rnacentral:rRNA from 1 species